GCUAUUCUCUGUGUCUUUCAACUUUGCUGAAUGAUUUGGAUUUGGUAGAUCUGAGAGGUAUUUUAAUUCUUCUACCAAACCCUAUAAUAUGUUAUUCAUUUGUUUUUCAGUAAUCAAUCUACAUGUGUUCAUUGUUGAAUGAGAACAUAUUAGAUGCGUACCAUUUUCUUUUAUUGAUGAAUUUAUGUUUCUUAUAUGGCAAGAUUGAAUUGAU
rnacentral:lncRNA from 1 species